CAGUAGCCGCGGUAAUACAGAGGGUGCGAGCGUUAAUCGGAUUUACUGGGCGUAAAGCGUGCGUAGGCGGCUUUUUAAGUCGGAUGUGAAAUCCCUGAGCUUAACUUAGGAAUUGCAUUCGAUACUGGGAAGCUAGAGUAUAAGAGAGGAUGGUAGAAUUCCAGGUGUAGCGGUGAAAUGCGUAGAGAUCUGGAGGAAUACCGAUGGCGAAGGCAGCCAUCUGGCCUAAUACUGACGCUGAGGUACGAAAGCAUGGGGAGCAAACAGGAUUAGAUACCCGCGUAGUCCCUGUCUCUUAUAC
rnacentral:rRNA from 1 species